AGUUAUGUAAGCUCUGUAUAGAACACUUUUAUUGUAACUUCGGUUAGAAGUUUUCAAUCAUUCUACGAGACAAAAGAGUGUGUGCUUCAUCUGCUCUUUGUGCAUAGGCGUUAAUUUUUAUAUUCUUUUUUCGAUCAUGGUCAUCGCUGUUGAUAGCGAUGUGGACGGGAGGUAACUCCAUCAGUCAAGAAUCAGGAAGUUGCCGCCCCAUGUACGGGUAUUUUUGGUGGCCGAUACGCAGACAAAAAUCUAGAGAUCCAGAGAUGAUGACUUACAGAUGAAGCUUAACUAUGAUGUGAUGGCUCAAGAAUCCUACCUACAGCCUAACAGUGUAACAUAUAUGAGAGAUUGGAUUUUUUUUUUUAUCACCUUGAAGUGAGAAAGAUUUCAUGAAUCAGUGUGACAUAUAUCAGAGAUUGGAUAUUUUCUUUGUCACCUUGAAGUGAGAAAGAUUUCAUAAAUCACGUGGUCCACCAUACUACAUUUUCUACCGAGCGAUAGUGGAAGGUAGUCAUUAAAGUGACAAGAUGAUGGGUGUUCCUGUGGUACAUGUCCCUCCUGGUGAUGUGGGAUCAUCUGCCCUAGCUGCAAGUUUCCAACCUGCCCAUCCAUCUGCUGCAAAAUUAACUGAAGACCAGGUACCAUCCUCCAGAGAGGAUACAGAGAAGGCAACAAGUGCUCAGGAGUUAAACUUAGCCAGGAAGUGUUUGACCCUGUCAUCAGAAACUUUCCAGCAAGUGGGUGGAAGCUUAGCACCACAAAGCACACAGUUACUCCAGCCUGCAGUUCAUUUAUUACCACAGGGAGCUUUUUUAAACCUUCCAAACACUGUCAGAACAAACAUGGCGUCACCAGGUCUUCAGCUUCCGUUUAUCAACAGCAUGAAUCAUAAUACCAAGCUGUCAUCAGCUUUACCAUUAAUGGUAAAUGGUUCACAGACAUGCCGAGUAAAAACACCUUCAUUGACACAGUUACAGAUAAGCAGGGCACAGAGUAACUCUGGCAGUUUAUUAUUGGCUGAAGCCACUCAAGGACCAGAAGGUGAUAGUAGUAGCUCACAAAAACACAGUCAUGAUACCCAACACGAUGUCCUUUCAAGCAAGCAUAAUCUUGAUUGCCUACCAUCUCAGUCGCAGAAUGCACAAAUGUCACCAAUACAAGACAAUGAUAACAUUGUAACAUCCGCUGAUCGGUCUGUGAUAACUGUUUCUUCUCAGCAGAAUCAUGUAGCUUUGGUGCCUUUAUUUUCACAGUUUCUUCCCCCUGUGACUAUAUCAGCUGGCAGUGAAAGGCAUACACAACAUCCUCUCACCCAAAUCCAAGAGAAAUAUGAGAAACCAAAAGUCAUUUCCAAAAAAGUGUCUGCUUCCAAAAUCAAGAAGAACCAUUCCAAAGAGAAUUACAUGAGAACACUUCUAACAACUUCAGUGGAAAAGAUGUCAGUUUCUCUAGACUCAGACCCUGUUAAUGGAGAGCACAAUAAUGCAGAUACCAUAUCUGUGACUCUUCCAUCGCAGAUGCAUGCAGACGUCAAAGCUCAUAAGCCUAUGGGAACUGGACAAACCCAUGAAAAGAAUGCAGUGGAUAUGGCAGCUAAUAAUUAUGGAGUUGAUGGUGAUGACAAUGAAAUAGUCUGGCUUAACAAGGUAGUUAAAGUUAAACCGUACUGUGAAAUCAAGAACACAGCUCCUUGCACUUGUCACUGUCCUAACUUCAACAUUAGGAAUUUCAGUGGAGCUGUGGGCAGCACAUGCAAGGUUGCAGCAAACAUUGCUGUUGAAGGUGAUGAUGACAUAAUCUGGGUUAACAGAACUAUUAGAGGCAAACCAAGCUGUGAUUUUCACAGUACCAAGUGUUCUUUCCGCAUGCAGAAUCCACCUGGUGUCAUUGUGUUGGAUGAUGAUGACGACAACGAUGUUGAAAUACUAAGUGCGGAGUCAGUUAGGCCUGUUCCGCUUCCAUUAUCAAGUGACAAUCACACUGCUACUUCUAAAGACUCACAUAUAAAAAUUCAUUCUAAAUCAGAAAGUUUACAAGGAAUUCCUUCUGCAGUUUUGGAAGUUCCUUUUAGUGAGGAAACUAGCUCAGUGAAACAAGAAGGUACAAAAUCCAAGUCUUAUCUCAUAAGCAGUGACCACACUGCAGGAGCAUAUGAUGUUGUCCCUGACAACUCACCUCAGUAUAGAAGUAUCCAUUCUGAAACAGAAAACAUACAAAAGCAGCCACCUUCUGCCAUUCCUCAAAUUGAUUCUGGUGCAAACACUUGCGUAGCUAGACAGCAGGAAAAGCAACUUGCAGGUGACUGCUCUGAUCAUGUAACCCAGCAUUUAGAACCGAUAUACAAUCAGAUGAUUGAUGCAAGCUUUCCUUUGAAUGUGCAAGCCUCCAUUCUUCAGCCAGGAGGUGGCAGUGGUAAAGACUAUGUAUCAACCUGUGAUGCUGGGGACUUUGUAACACCCUCAGCAACAGCUGGAACAUCACAUUUGUUGGAAGGUUCAUUGCCAAACAGCCAGCUUCAUAGUUCAUUUUCAGAUAAUGAUAACUUGGGAUUUUUUAUCAGUGAGGUAAAGACUGUCACACCCGACUUCAACCCUCUUCAUGAGCUCUCAUCUGAAGGAUUUUACGUGUGUGGUUGCAUGUUGGGAGAGUGCAAUUUCAGUACUCAGUUUGCUUCUAUCUUUGAAAUGCAUUUGCAAAAGAGCCAUGCAAAGAGUAAAAUAUUUACUUGUGUACAUUGUGGGAAGUUGGAAGAGAGCAACAAAGAGGCUGUAGACCAUCUUCAGAAACAUUUGGACCAGAGCAGAGAUAUGAUACAUUGCACACAGACAAAUUGUAGAUAUAGCUGUAUCUCACCUGAAGAGUUCUUAGGGCAUACAGUGCUUACUCACCAAGAUCUUCCUCAUCCUAUUUGCUGGAACUGUCACAUGACCUUUACAUCUCUCAGUCAGCUGGUAGCACAUGUCAAAUACAAUUUACUACAGAUGGUGCAUUGCGUUUAUUGUGAGGCGGCAGACACCAGCAUUGAACGCAUUCUGAAGCAUGUAGAUAAAAACCAUGCAAUGGGCAAGCGAAAGUAUGCUGUUAAAAAGGUCCUUCUUUGUCUGGAGAGGGCAUCAAACCAUUGCAAAAAUGAUGCUGUGCUCGCUGCUGCAGAGAAUGACUCAUCAAUUAUUAGCGAGAAGCAGGAGGGGCAUUUAAAUGCAUCAGGUGAGGUGCCUAAUGUACUAGGCAAAGAGAAACUGUUAAAAACAAGAGAAAAUGAACCUGCUGAAAAUGAACCUGAUUCUUUAAAUGAGUCAGACAACAUUGUCGAUUGUGAAACAUCUGUGUUUGAAACUGUCUGGAUAAAAGAGGGCUCACAUCAGUUAGAAAAUUGCAUCAAAAACACGAUAAUGGAAAUGCAAAGUCCUAUGGUAGAACAUGAAUUGAAGGAAGCUCAUAGGGAUAUUCAGAAAAGCAGCAAGUUGUCUUCUAAAUCACUGUCUUCAAACAAAAAGCAGCAGACAAACAAGCAAGAAUUUUCAGAUAAAAUUCAGCAGAAGUGCGACAGUAUUACUUUUGGUCCUAAAGUGACUCCUCCCAGCAGAAAGCAGGAGGCAAAAAAAAAAUAUUACCAAAAGAAUGAUAUGCUUACUCCUAGUCCAAUGCUAACUCCUUCCCAUGAAAAGCAGAAGCAGACACCUUCCACCAAGCAGAAGCAGAAGACAAAAGGUCAAGAAAUGGAGGGUAACAAAAUUCAAAAGGGUGGUGAAUUAUGUUCUAGAUCAUCCCGUUCCUAUGAAAAGCAGGAAUUGAAAGUUCAAACAAUUGCAGUUAAAAAAGUUGAUCAACACAGUGGCUUUGACGCCCCUAAUAUGUCUCAUUCAUGCAAAACAGUACUUGAACAAAAUAGGGAAGUGCAAAGAUAUGAGUGCACAAUCUGCCAGCAAUAUUUUGCAAAGAAAGCAAACCACAUGCAGCAUAUUCAUGCCCUUGUUCCACUGAAUCCCAGUUUGCUGGCAGAAAAUUUAAGUGAAAAACAUUUUUCAACAGACAUGAGGCAAAAAACUGCAAAGUAUCCUUUCACAAGAAAAAGAUUAGCCCAGGAGCAGGAACACAGCCCAUCCAAGCAGACUUUACUGGCAAGCAUGAAGUCAGAAGGAGGAGCACCCAAAAUAACCCUUUCCAGCUCACUCAGUCAGUUACCAUUCAAACAAUUAAGAUCACACUCAGAAUCCAGCCAAACUGACAGUGAAUUAUCAGAUCAAACAGUCUGUAGCAGUGAAAACUCAACAUCUCCAUCAAAAGAAAUCAGGUAUUGUUGUCACAGCUGCCCGCUUACCUUUACAAAUAGAAAAAAGUUUUUUAAACAUGUGCACCAGCAUAAUUUAUGUAAACAUUCUAAGGACCCAAUGUGCUCUUUACUUUCUACGCCUGCAAAAUAUGCAUUGACAAGCACGGACAGUGCACACUCUCAAGAGACACAUGAUCUUAAAGUGGAAGGGACUAAGAAGGAAAGCAAAGAGUGCAUCCAGCACUGUGAUGUGAAACAACAUCUUGAUAUAUCAUCAUCAAGCUGCAGAAAGAGAUCUGGUGUGGUAGAGAAAGAUGCAAAAUCUUCCCAUUCAAAACACAGAAGACCAAACCAGACUGUACAUCAAAAAGGUACAUCAAAAUGUCGUGAUUCAUGUGGAAGCAAACAGUCUACUCAAAUGGACACUGAGCAACCAGGGAGCUAUAACAGCAAGCCAAAGGCAUUUGUGAAACUUAAAAAUCAUGAGAAACAAAAGGUCUUGUUAUCUUGGCUUGUAAGUAUGUCUAUCACCAAGAAAGCCCUUCAUGAAGACUACAUCAUCAAUGAAGAUGACAUCCAUUUGACCCUAGAGGAUAUUCCACAUUCUUGUUUAGAUGAUAGUGUGAACCUUAGUUUGGUUCAGCAUUUCUUCACUGCUGAUGCUUGGAAAUUGAUAUAUGCUUUAAUAGAGAUUAAGAAAGAGGAGCCAUGGCUUUGCAAAUGCUGUGAGAGAACUCUUAAGAAGAAGUCUGUGGGGUGUGAUUCCUGCCUUUGCUGGUACCACUUUCAGUGUGCUGGCUUAUGCAAACAACCCAAAGAAGAAUUUUGGUUCUGCAAGUCUUGUGAAAGUGGGAAGUGUGUGCCCUUUCAGCCCUAAGCUAAGAAGUCAAGAACAACCCGUCAAAGAGUACAUUAGAUUCUAUGCUGUGUUCAGAAUAAAAUGUCUUUAAUCUUUGCUUCCUAGCACCCACUACCAUUGAAAAGCUAUCCUGAAGCUGUUUGUUUUCAACAACUGCACUCUCCUCGCCCACUCACUAGAGACACUGCAGUCAGUCAUUAACCAAUAUGCCCAAACAGAGCUCCUGAAGAAAGUAGAAGUAAUGUACCAAAAGCCUCAACAAGCUUACGGCAUGGCUUCACAGUGUAAUCAAAAAUGAGACCGCAAUAUCCAAGGACUUUGACAUAAUCUCUCUAUCAGCUUGCACCUUCUGACACUCACUGCACAUCAUGCAAAUUUAGCUCUAUGGAGUCAUUGUUGUUCUGGUGCUGCUAUAUAAAACAGAGGCAUAGAGCAGCAGUUAAAUCACUUCCACCAGCGCUGUCAGGAAUUAUUCAUGGGCAGUAGGGCCAUGCCUCCAGGUCUUGGAAAAGGCAAAUCUGCCCCGCGUUGAAGAUAUCCUCUUGAUCAAGCAGCUCUAUUGGGUAAAUGUUAUCCGUAUGGAGAACUUUCCCCUGCCCAAAGCUGUCUUUUAAUUGGAACUGUGCAAUGGCAGGCAGCAAAUCAGAAAAAGAUGCGAAGAAAGAAAAGGAAGACUUGUAACUGAACAUUGCACAUGUAUGUUCUCUGAAGGAUAAAGAUGUGUUUCACUGACAGUAAAACUUGUUUAAACUUUGAAGAAAGUAUCAAGAUUAUUAUCAGUUUUCAAAAUUUAGUUUGUGUUGCCUUUUUCAAUACUCUUUUACCUAGUAAACAGAACUGGAAACUUG
rnacentral:misc_RNA from 1 species